UACAGAGGGUGCAAGCGUUAAUCGGAAUUAUUGGGCGUAAAGAGCUCGUAGGCGGUCUGUCGCGUCGGCUGUGAAAACCCGGGGCUCAACCCCGGGCCUGCAGUCGAUACGGGCAGACUAGAGUGCGGUAGGGGAGACUGGAAUUCCUGGUGUAGCGGUGAAAUGCGCAGAUAUCAGGAGGAACACCGGUGGCGAAGGCGGGUCUCUGGGCCGUAACUGACGCUGAGGAGCGAAAGCGUGGGGAGCGAACAGG
rnacentral:rRNA from 1 species